GCCAGCAUGGCAUAGUGGGUUGAGUGUUGGACUAUGACUCUGGAGACCAGGGUCCGAUUCCCAGCUCAGCCA
rnacentral:tRNA from 1 species